CCAAGGAGUAUCUUGAUCAUCAAUCAAUAUUGUCUCACACUUUGUUCUUAUCUGGUAAAUUCUACAUGUUCCAUGCAGAGUUAUUGCUAGCUUCUUGGAUCUAGCAAUUGAUGGCGCACUUAAACAGUUGGAGUGGGUCUUGGCCAAGGGUUGUGUGAAGUUGACAUCAAUAAAGGUUGAGAAGUCUGUGCUUGGUACUGGCUAGUUAGAAGAUUCAAGGGUUCUUAUCUGAUGCGUUGAAUCUUGUUCUCGGUAUACGAUGCCAUGUCUGUGGCCAGAAAUAUACGCGAGAAUCCAAAGCUCCUUCCUGGGGGGGAUGCUACAGAAUUAACUGUAUCUGCUGCUCUGAACCAAAAAUGUUCAUCUAUUGAAGGUAUAGAAAAGUGGCCUUAUGGAGCUGCUGCUAUAGCUUUUGAGGCUAUGCCGAAGACGGUGGCUCAGAAUUGUGGUGUUAAUAUUGUGAUAUGAACCAUGACUGCUCUGCAAGGAAAGCAGCUUGCAAAGGGUGAAAAUGCAUGGAUAGGAACAACGACCUGUAGAUAGGUUGAUCGAGACCAAUUUCCUAUUGAGAUGUUGCAAUGCGAGGUUGAUAAGACCUAAUGCAUGGUGAAAGUAGAGAUGAAUGAUCUUCUAUAAUGCCAUGAUAUGCAGGUCAGAAUGUAUACUGGGCGCGCAAAUGGUUGAUUUGAUACCAAUUCCAUGGUGCUUGCCAAACACAGCUACUUAAACGACACAAGAAGUACUGGAAGGGGAUAUUUGGAAAGGAACUUCCCAACUUCAAUAAAUAAACAGAUCCUCAGCCAAACUAAAUCCUAUGCAUGUGCACUUUCUGUUAUGUGAGCCCGCUUAGCUCAGAGGUUAGAGCAUCGUAUUUAUAAUGUGAUGGCCAUCGGAUCGCGUUAUUAAGAAGAGACAGCAUGUAGCCACUAGUUGCAACAAUUUUCUACCUUGCUCUUCUUGUUCUUGGCAGCAACCAGUUGCAUUUUCGCUUGAAAAAUUGCAGGAACAAGACACAAACUCCGAGCAACCUUUUUUUUUUUGGAAGCAGUCUGAACAUCAAGAUUUGAACUUCUUUUCUUUUGAAAUCUUACAAGCCCUACAUCAACCUCCAUCAAAACUACAAAAGAAUCAAACCCCCAAAAUCCAUUAGAUCUUAUCAGACAAAAGAACCCAUUGAAGAAAUUGUUGUGUUGGAAGAUCAAUGGUUGUAUAAAAUUUGAGACUUAAGUUGAAAUGGUGCAAAUGGUUCCACAUGUA